UACGGGGGGAGCAAGCGUUGUUCGGAUUUACUGGGCGUAAAGGGCGCGUAGGCGGCCAGCACAAGUCAGUUGUGAAAUCUCCGAGCUUAACUCGGAACGGUCAACUGAUACUGUGCAGCUAGAGUGCGGAAGGGGCAACUGGAAUUCUUGGUGUAGCGGUGAAAUGCGUAGAUAUCAAGAGGAACACCUGCGGCGAAGGCGGGUUGCUGGGCCGACACUGACGCUGAGGCGCGAAAGCCAGGGGAGCGAACGGG
rnacentral:rRNA from 1 species